rnacentral:rRNA from 1 species
UACGUAGGGUGCGAGCGUUGCCCGGAUUUAUUGGGCGUAAAGGGCGCGUAGGCGGUCACGCACGUCCGUUGUGAAAUCGCUCGGCUCAACUGGGCGGGGUCAGCGGAUACGGCGUGGCUGGAGCAAGCUAGGGGGCAAUGGAAUUCCCGGUGUAGUGGUGGAAUGCGUAGAGAUCCGGAAGAACACCGGUGGCGAAGGCGGCCUGCUGGGCUAUGGCUGACACUGAGGCGCGACAGCGUGGGGAGCAAACAGG